rnacentral:lncRNA from 1 species
UUGUUGACUUCUUCCACAACGGCGAGAAGCUAGAUCUCCACAUUUUCUCAUUUGAAGUACUUCGGGUUUCUUACUGGUUCCCGUUAAGAUCUUCUUGGUUUAACACAAGCUUGCUCUGGUACAAUAGUUUUGGACCUCAAUUAAGGUAAAAAUUGUGAUAUAUGACAUUACAUACUUGGACAUCCUUUACAGUCCAGGUUAGACAUUCUUUCAGGUGUUUUGAUGAUUAAGAAUUAUAAG